CUGGAGCCUCAAGAAGGAGGGUGGUGUCCUUGGUGAUGUUGCUCCCACGAUCCUUGCGGCUAUGGGUCUCCCCCAGCCCGCGGAGAUGACUGGCCAGAACCUUCUUGUCAAGGCCUAAAGUAGAACUUGUAAUGAUUGGAUGGCGUGAUGAAAUAAGUAACAUAGAUUAUAGACGGGAAUGACAACG
rnacentral:snoRNA from 1 species